rfam:Termite gut metagenome tgut2b_Contig41459, whole genome shotgun sequence.
CACUGCUAAAUCUCAACCGGACGCCAUGCACAAUUGUUCCGUACUUCAUGCACGUUUUAUGCCGUAGUAUUCAGCAAAAGCAAGGCGGAUAAGUUUCCAUAACAAAACAAAAUCCAAAAAGGCCGGACUGCCAUUGGCCUCCGACUUUACUGCCCGAACCUUGCAAUGUAAAUGCGGCGGCCACAUGGAAUGAAGGUUACCGAC